rnacentral:rRNA from 1 species
UACGAAGGGGGCUAGCGUUGUUCGGAUUUACUGGGCGUAAAGCGCGUGUAGGCGGGCUGGAAAGUUGGGGGUGAAAUCCCGAGGCUCAACCUCGGAACUGCCUCCAAAACUUCCAGCCUGGACCCAAGUAGAGGCAAGUGGAAUUGCGAGUGUAGAGGUGAAAUUCGUAGAUAUUCGCAGGAACACCAGUGGCGAAGGCGACUUGCUGGACUUGUGGUGACGCUGAGACGCGAAAGCGUGGGGAGCAAACAGG